rnacentral:rRNA from 1 species
GCAGCAGCCGCGGUAAUACAGAGGGUGCGAGCGUUAAUCGGAUUUACUGGGCGUAAAGCGUGCGUAGGCGGCUUCUUAAGUCGGAUGUGAAAUCACUGAGCUUAACUUAGGAAUUGCAUUCGAUACUGGGAAGCUAGAGUAUGGGAGAGGAUGGUAGAAUUCCAGGUGUAGCGGUGAAAUGCGUAGAGAUCUGGAGGAAUACCGAUGGCGAAGGCAGCCAUCUGGCCUAAUACUGACGCUGAGGUACGAAAGCAUGGGGAGCAAACAGGAUUAGAUACCCGUGUAGUUCCUGUCUCUUAUAC